GGUCAUCUCCAACUAUACAUACUCAAGGGAGAGUAAGAAGAAUGACAUAUACUUCCCUGCUCCAGUGACUUGGGACUUGGUCCUGUGAUUUCCUUUGGUUAAUGGACUGUGAUACAAGAAAUAUUAGGCAAGGCUGCAUGGUUUGGAUUGUCUGCUUGCCCUCUUGUGAUUUGCCAUCAAAAGAACAUGCCUUAGGGAGAUGCUGGCCCAAGAAGAACAUGGUGACACAUAGAGCAGAUGUGAACCCAGUUCUAAGCCUGAAGCCAAGCCCAGCUGACCAGCAACUUGAAACAGGGUCUCCCUGGCUUUCCUACACUCCUACGAUCAAGAAAAAUAGAUGCUGAUUGUUGAAAGCAUUGAGUUUGGAGUGUUUUAUGACUUUGCAGAAAUAACUAAUUAAAAUGUAUGUAUGUCAAGAACAACAUUUAAUACUAGGUGUCUUAGAAUGUGACUACUCAAUACAUAAAAUACACUGGAGAAGGAGUAUGGUUAAGUAUAUUGAAAUUAGGUCUGAGUUUAAACCCUUGCUAUGCAACUUACUAGUUAUGUCUUAGACAAGUUGCCUGACCCCUCUAAACUCAGCCUUCUCAUCUCCAGAAUGUAGAUAAAAGGAAGCUUAUUUCAUAGCGUAUUAUGAGGGUGAAAUAAGAGUGAUCUUGUAAAGGGCCUGGCACAGCGGUUGGCACAGAAUAAAUUGCUUUACUGAAAAAAAACAAGACAUUUAUAGUUGAGCAUUGUAAUUGUUUGUCUGGUUACCUCCAAAGUGUUUUGAGGAUUAAAAACUAUUUCAUUUAAGUUAGUUUUUAGUUCUCCAUUAAUUAUGGUUACAUAACUAAUUUACAUUAUAAACAAUGGGUAUUAAAAAAAGAAAAAUUUUAUUCUAUUUUCAUCCCAAAUAAUUAUGUCUUGAAUUAAUAAAGACUAAAAGAAGUAAUAACUUUUUCUACUGUGGACUGUCUAGUCAUUUGGCACCAUGUGAAGCAUUCUAAAAUAAAAUAAACAAUAUAGCCAAAAUUUACUUGCAAAUAAUUCUGCUAAAUUGCUGUUCAUUAUCAAAUGGCAAAGUCAACAAUCUUUCUAAAAGUUGUUACCUUUCUUCUUUGUCUGAGUAAUAAAAAGCGGUUCUAUAACCUUUAAAAUC
rnacentral:lncRNA from 10 species